CCAAGGAGAGCAAAUGUUGGAGAAGGAUUGAGCUAUCUCAGAUUUUAUUCUUUUAUCCCUUCUUUUCUUUUUGUAAUCCGAGGAUGUUCUUUAACUUUGAUAUGAGCUAACUUUUUAUUGAGAUUACAAUGGAACCCAAUGAUUAGUUUAAAUUAAUUUGCUCUCGUUUUUACUAUUGUUGAUCAUAUUUGAAUCGUUUAUCAUAUUUUGUGCUUAAUGAUGGUUGUCUAGCUAACAAUUAUUAUGAUAUAACCUAGAUGAAUUCUAG
rnacentral:lncRNA from 1 species